UUUCCGUAGGUGAACCUGCGGAAGGAUCAUUACCGAGUGAGGGCCCUUUGGGUCCAACCUCCCACCCGUGUUUAUCGUACCUUGUUGCUUCGGCGGGCCCGCCUCACGGCCGCCGGGGGGCACCCGCCCCCGGGCCCGCGCCCGCCGAAGACACCAUUGAACGCUGUCUGAAGAUUGCAGUCUGAGCAUCUUAGCUAAAUCAGUUAAAACUUUCAACAACGGAUCUCUUGGUUCCG
rnacentral:misc_RNA from 1 species